rnacentral:rRNA from 1 species
CUCUGGCCCGCCUCACUGUCUGUCCCCUUAACCCCCGGAGGGGGUCAGGGAAGGAUGAGUGGUUCAGGUGGGCCGGUGGCAGAGCGGCCUGCCUCCAUUCCCUCCUGGGAAGCGCUGUGCCGGUUUCCUGGGCUGAGUGCCUGAAUUAUUAUUAUAUUUUUUAUUUUUUAAACCACAUGGUCUCAGUCGAGCUACACAGGGUGCGUGGCUGUCUCACCACAGGCGGCCCUGCCUCCCCCCUGGCCUCUCCUGCACCGGCAGGGUCUGGCUGAUGUCUGGAACAAAAAAAAUAGUUGCCUGCGACUCUUGGCGGUGGGUCACUCGGCUUGCGCAUCAAUGAAGAACGCAGUUAGCUGCGAGAAUCGGUGUGAAUUGUAGGACACAUUGAUCAACACUUCAAACGCAACAUGCGGCCCGGGUUCCUCCCGGGCUAUGCCUGUCUGAGGGUCGCUUGUACAUCAGUCGCCCAGGGGUUCCCUCCCAGGGGCAUGGCUUGGGCUAUCGCAGGGACCUCGUUCCCUUUGUCCCCCCUAUGGUCAGACCCCGAUCAGCACCGUUGCAUCCCUGGACCUUGUGCGUAGGCUUAUUGCCGGCGUGUCCUGGCCUCCCCAGUUUCUCCGCCUCAUGCUGGUUUCAGGAGGACUGGGUGGCCGGCACGCCCCGGAUGGGGUGGCGGCAGCAGCAGCAGGCCUUAAAAAAAGCCUGGCGGACCUUCACCCUACUCCGGGGCACCUGGCCAUGCUGUUUGUGGCUGCCAGCGCAGGAUGGCCACGGAGCGGCGUGCCUCACAACCAUGUGGCUUUCGGCUGCAGAUUGGCACAUCGCACACUCGGCUGCGCCAGAAGCACAGGGCUGGGCAAACCCCCGUAUGGGCCUGAGUCCAGCUGUCCGAGGUUUGUGUUCCCCGACUACGGCCUCGGAUCAGCCGUGGCAACCCGCUGAAUUUAAGCACAUUACUAAGCGGAGGAAAAUAAACUAACCAAGAUUCCCUCAGUAACGCCAGUGAAGAGCCAGCGCCAAAUCCCUGUUCAGCGCCAGGCGUGGGAAAUGUGGCUACAGAAGACCGACUCGCCGAGUCUCACCCUGCGAACGGCGUUAGGCCAGUAGCGGCCUCUGGCAUGCCGGGAUCAGGUUGCUUGGGAAUGCAUCCCAAAGCAUGUGGUAAGCGGAGGGUUCUCUUUUCUUUGUGAAGGGCAGCGCACCCUGGAAAGGGUUCGCCCUGAGAGGGGGGCCCGAGCCUUGGAAAGUGCUGCGGUGAUCUCUCGCUGGUCCUUGAAAAUCUGGGGGAGAUGGUGUACAUCUCACGCCGGGCCGUACCAAUAUCUGCAGUAGGUCUCCAAGGUGAACAGCCUCUGGCAUUUUGGAACAAUGUAGGGAAGGGAAGUAGGCAUCGGAUCCGUAACUUCGGGAUAAGGAUUGGCUCGAAGGGCUGGGUCAGUCGGGCUGUGGCGCGAAGCGGGGCUGGGUGCGCGCUGCAGCAGGACGAGGCGUCUCACCCCUCCACCCGGGGGCGGCGCCGACUCAGGAUACGAGCCGGGCCCUUCCUGUGGAUCGCCCCAGCUGUGCUGGUUUUCUCUCUCCGUUCCCCUUCUGGGAUUCGGGGCAGACGUUCUGCCUCAGCCAACACCUAGCAGCUGACUUGGAACUGGUGCGGACCAGAGGAAUCCGACUGUUUAAUUAAAACAAAGUAUCGCAAAGUCAUUGACGUAAUGCGAUUUCUGCCCAAUGGUCUGAAUGUCAAAGUGAAGAAAUUCAAUGAAGCGCGGGUAAACGGCGGGAGUAACUAUGACUCUUACGGUAGCCAAAUGCCUCGUCUAGUUAGUGACGCGCAUGAAUGGAUGAACGAGAUUCCCACUGUCCCUACCUACUAUCUAGCGAAGCCAAGGGAACGGGCAUAGCAGAACCAUCGGGGAAAGAAGACCCAGCUGGUCUUGCCUCUAGUCUGGCACUGUGAAGAGACAUGAGAGGUGUAGGGUAAGUGGGAGGCCCUCCGGCCGCCGGUGAAAUACCACUAAUCCUAAAAAAAAUUUCACUUACCCGGUGAGGUGGGGGGUGAGCCCCGUGGGGCUCUCACUUCUGGCUCCAAACGCCCCGCCAUACGCUACCUGCUCCAGGGACAGUGGCAGGUGGGGAGUUUGACUGGGGCGGUACAACUGUCAAACAAUAACGCAGGUGUCCUAGGGCGAGCUCAGGGAGGAUAGAAACCUCCUGCGGAGCAGAAGGGCAAAAGCUCGGUUGAUCUCGAUUUUCAGUAUGAAUACAGACUAUGAAAGCGGGGCCUCACGAUCCGUUUGGCUUUUUGGGUUUCAAGCAGGAGGUGUCAGAAAAGUUACCACAGGGAUAACUGGCUUCUGGCGGCCAAGCAUUCAUAGCAACGUAGCUUUUUGAUCCUUCGAUGUCGGCUCUUUCUAUCAUUGUGAAGCAGAAUUCACCAAGCGUUGAUUGCUCACCCACUAAUGGUUAACGUGAGGUGGGUUUAGACCGUCAUGAGACCAGUUAGGGGUACCCUACUGAUGAUGUGUUACAAUACUAAUCCUGCUCAGUACGAGGGGAACCGCAGGUUCAGACAUUUGGUGUAUGUUCUUGGCUGAGGAGCCAAUGGGGUGAAGCUACCAUCUGUGGAUUGUGACUGAACGCCUCCAAGUCAGAAUCCCCCCCAAAACGCAACUAUACCGCAGCGAUGUCGAGCCUUGGUUGGCCUAGAAUUGCCGGCCUCUCGGCCGGUGCUUAAAGCUGCUCGACUCGAGUGUGGACAGAAGGGGGCCACCUCUCUCGCCCGUAGUGCACCGCAUGUUCGCAGGGCACCUGGUGCUAGAUCCUUCGUAGACGACCUGAUUUUGGUUCAAGGUUUCCUAACUAGCAGAGCAGCUACCUUGUUGCAAUCUAUUGAAAGUCAUCCUC